CGCGGCCUACGGGGCGCAGCAGUCGAGAAUCAUUCACAAUGGGGGAAACCCUGAUGCAGCGACGCCGCGUGAGCGAAGAAGUAUUUCGGUAUGUAAAGCUCUAUCAGCAGGGAAGAAAAAUGACGGUACCUGAGUAAGAAGCACCGGCUAAAUACGUGCCAGCAGCCGCGGUAAUACGUAUGGUGCAAGCGUUAUCCGGAUUUACUGGGUGUAAAGGGAGCGCAGGCGGUGCGGCAAGUCUGAUGUGAAAGCCCGGGGCUCAACCCCGGGACUGCAUUGGAAACUACCGAACUAGAGUGUCGGAG
rnacentral:rRNA from 1 species